GGCCUGAUGGUCUAGUAGUAUGAUUCUCCCUUCGGGCGCCGAGCCUGUCUCACGAGAGAUUUAACUGGGAGAGGUCCCGGGUUCAAUUCCCGGUCAGGCCC